rnacentral:rRNA from 1 species
UACGGAGGGUGCGAGCGUUGUUCGGAAUCACUGGGCGUAAAGGGCGUGUAGGCGGUCCGCUAAGUCUGAUGUGAAAGCCCGGGGCUCACCCCCGGAAGUGCAUUGGAAACUGGUGGACUCGAGUCCCGGAGAGGAGGGUGGAAUUCCUGGUGUAGCGGUGAAAUGCGUAGAUAUCAGGAGGAACACCGGUGGCGAAGGCGGCCCUCUGGACGGUGACUGACGCUAAGACGCGAAAGCCAGGGGAGCGAACGGG